rnacentral:rRNA from 1 species
UACGAGGGGGGCAAGCGUUGUUCGGAAUUAUUGGGCGUAAAGGGCGCGUAGGCGGUGCGGUAAGUCUGAUGUGAAAUCUCCGGGCUCAACUCGGAGUCUGCAUCAGAAACUGCCGUGCUCGAGUGUGGGAGAGGUGAGUGGAAUUCCCGGUGUAGCGGUGAAAUGCGCAGAUAUCGGGAAGAACACCUAUGGCGAAGGCAGCUCUCUGGGACGGUACUGACGCUGAGACGCGAAAGCGUGGGGAGCGAACAGG